GAAAUUAAUCAAUACUAUUAAAUUAGGAACAUAUCCUAUUGAUAAUAGUUGAAUCCAAUUUAAAAUAUAACUGCAAUUAAAAUCAAUAUUACAUGUUUAAAUAUUUAAACUACCAUAAUCUACCUAUUACGAAAAUGGUUAUCAAACUAACUCCCCUUUAAUUCCUAUAUUCUCGGGACCAUCUCUCUUAUCAAUACUAACUGAUUAAAAUCCACGGUUACGUAUGUUUUAUACAUAUGCGCAUGCAUAUAAAACUAUAUCACAAACUCAUAAUGCGCAUAACAGACAAUACUAACUAAUUAAAAUCCACGGUCACAUGGAAUAACAGUCGUGUAGUAUAGACAUGUUCAUAAUGACAAUCAUAAAAUCUGUCUAUUACCUUUUGACCGUGUAGGUAAAAGUAACACUAUAUUAAAGCACACACAAAAAUAUUAAAAAAUAAAUUAGAAAACUAAACUAUCUUUUUUGAUUCAGGUAUUUUAUAUCUAAGUUACUUAACUUAUUUAAAAAUAACUGAAAUUAUCAAAAUACAACAUGUUAAGAUUUAUCAAGACUUAUAUAUAAUAAAUUAUCUCAAAAUCACUUUCCCAUUAACCUAUAUAAAAUAUCCAAAAUUUUAAAAGGCACGUCUACCGUAUUCUAAAUCAAAAUUUAGAAUUCACGGUUACGUAAUAUAUUUGAGCGGGUGGAAGAAUAUAAACCAUAAGAUUGAAAUAUAUAUAUAUUUUUGACGAAUUAUGUUAGGUAACUACUAAAAAAAAUAAUAUGUUGUAAACUUUACGAAUAAAGUUUAAAAAUAAUUUCUGAAAUGCAUAUGACACAAGUGUACAAUUAUGCAACCAUUGACAUAUUUAAUAUAAUUACCAAAAAUUAUAUUAAAUUAAUAUUAAUAUUAAACACAAAUAUAAAAACUAAAUUUCUCAAAAUUAAAACAAAAAUAUACCCGCUCUUUGAAAGAGCGGGUCAUAAUCUAGUAUUUUCUUACAAUAAAACUGAAAGUCAAUUGUAUCUACUCUUAAAUUAUUCCUUUCUUCUUUUUUAUCAACCACACGUGAAAUUAUAAAUAAGCUCAUUUGGAGAUCAAAUGUUUACAAUUUUUCAUUCUCUUCAUGCAUAGAAAUUGCUUAUUAUUAAUUCCUCGUUAAUUUCAUUUGUUAUCAUCAUCAUCCCCAUUUUUAUAUUGUUCUUCUGGUGGUUAUAUUUUUUUUCUUAAGAUGUAUAGUUUGAAAGUGAUAGAUAAAGGGUAUAUAGUUUCGAGAUAGAUUUUAGAGGUAUAAAAAAUUUAAUAUGAACUUCAAUAAAAAUAUUUUAAAAAAUCAUGAUUGUGAUCAUUUAUUUUGCCUCUAACUUCUCUCUAAAAAGAACUUCGCUAAUACAACUCCGACUUUGGUAGCCGGUGGCUUUCGCCGCCGGUUACUGAUUUUCUUUUUUUCUUUUGUAAUUAAAUAAGACUUUUCGAUCUGUUUGAUCGAUCUUAGUUACUUCCGAUUAGCAGAUUUGUUUUUCCUUAAGGGAUUUUGCUGUGUUUUAAAAUCUGUUUUUCUCCUUUCCUGAUCUAUAUAUUAUCCCGUUUGAUUUUGGAGGGUUUAAAUCUUCUCAAAAGUUAUGUUUGAUUUGUUACUCAGCGAGAAAUCAAUCUUCGCGUUCAAAUUCGUGGGCGGAGUGGAGUAUCCAGAGUUGAUAAGAAAUCGAGUUGUUUGAUUAAGCGAAGGAGAGAGGAUGCGGUUUCAAAUUAGCUGGAGUUCUCUUUUUGAAAACAUUAUGGGCGAGACUCUGCGUUUUAUCUCCUUGAAACUUCUCACUGGGCCUAAUACUUGCGGGUUGAUGAAGAACAUGAAAAGAUCCACGUAGAACGGUCAAGCAGUUUAACUAAACGGAGAAAAAAAUUCACGGUGUUCGAUCCGGCAGAGUUUCCAGCGUCACAUGUGAUGCUUCCUCCGAUUCCAGAAAGGUGGUGACUGGGCUGAAAUAUUGUAUGGGUGGGGAUGAACCGUUUGUUAAUGGGCUUUUCUAAGCUUAAUGAAAAGCAUCCUUGACAAAAAGAAAAAAGAUUCCAAAAACAAUUUGGAGCUCCAGGGUCGGGGUACUACGUAGUUUUAAAAAGCGCUUACAGAGCAAAUAAUGCAACAUGUAACUUUAAGGAGUGAUUUAGAGAGAUGGAGAAGGAAGGCCCUAUAGUAGCCCAUUUCUGGAAGCCGAAAGACCGUGCUGUUGUGCCGAGGCGCAAAGAAGAUUCAAAGCAAAUUUAGAUUGGGAGCCUACGAUAACAAAGAGGUAAUCAGUUUACAUGUGCUGGAAUGCUUAGAAUCUUUGAUUAAAAGGAAGCAUCAUCGGUUCAAGAAAGCUUGUCUUUCUUUGAUCAAACAUCUCAUCACCGUUUGUCUUUCUUUUAUUGUCUUAAACUAAGCAAGCUUGAAGCCAAAGUUCACAAA